rnacentral:rRNA from 1 species
UCAAGCUACUAAGGGCAUGCGGGGGAUGUCUUGGUGUUGAAAGUAGGGGCGUGGAAGUCUGCGAUAAGCUUGGGGUAGCCGACAAACGGGCGUUGAUCCCAUGAUUCCCUAUCCAACCUGGUGAACUGAAACAUCUAAGUAACCAGAGGAAAAGAAAGAAAAAUCGAUUCCGUCAGUAGCGGCGAGCGAAAGCGGAAUAGCCCAAACCUCAAGGGUUUCCCUUGGGGGGUUGUAGGAGCUUCAGAUGCUGAUGUGAAAAGGUAGUAGAACUGAAUUGGAAUGUUCGACCACAGAGGGUGACAGUCCCGUAAACGAAACCUGAUUAACUGAAGUAGAAGAUUUCCUGAGUAGGUCCAGUCACGUGAAACCUGGAUUGAAUCCGCGGGGACCAUCCCGCAAGGCUAAAUACUCUUCAACGACCGAUAGCUUACUAAGUAGCGUGAGUGAAAGAUGAAAAGAACCCCUGCUAGGGGAGGGAAAGAACCUGAAACCGUGUGCCUACAAGCGGUCGGAGCACUAUAGAAAGCUUGCUUUCCAUGUGUGACGGCGUGCCUUUUGCAUAAUGAUCCGGCGAGUUACGUUUUGUGGCAGGUUAAGGCCUUACGGGCUGGAGCCAGAGGGAAACCGAGUGUUAAUAGCGCGAUUUUGUCAUAGGGCGUAGACGCGAAACUGGAGUGAUCUAUCCAUGGGCAGGUUGAAGCGCGGGUUAUACUGCGUGGAGGACCGAACCCACUUGGGUUGAAAACCGAGGGGAUGACCUGUGGAGAGGAGUGAAAGUCUAAUCAAACCCAGAGAUAGCUCGUUCUCUUCGAAAUAGCUUUUGGGCUAGCCUCGUGCCACUAUUUGUUGGGGGUAGAGACACUGAUUUGGAUGGGGGCCCUCCGGGGUACCUCACUGAGCCAAACUCCGAAUACCAACAAAACUAUCACGGGAGUCAGUCCGCGGGGGAUAAGCUUCGCGGUCGAGAGGGAAACAACCCAGACCAUCGGCUAAGGUCCCGAAGUUAUAUUUAGUCACUAAGGAAGUUGAAGUGCUGAGACAGCCAGGAUGUUGGCUUAGAAGCAGCCACCAUUUAAAAAGUGCGUAACAGCUUACUGGUCGAGCAUUUCUGCGCCGAUAAUGAACGGGAGUAAAUAUAACACCGAAGCCGUGGACUCAGAUUUAUCUGAGUGGUAGAAGAGCGCUGUACAGCAGAUACAAGCCAUACCGAAAGGAGUGGUCGCGGGCUGUACAGGUGAUUAUGCCGGAAUGAGUAACGAUAAAACAGGUGAGAAUCCUGUUCGCCGAAAGCCUAAGGUUUCCUGGGGAAGGUAAUUCCGCCCAGGGUUAGCCGGUACCUUAGUCGAGGCUGAAGAGCGUAGACGAUGGAUAGCAGGUCAAUAUUCCUGCGCCGGUGUGUGGACUGAUGGAGGGACGGCGUCCGAAGUACUAGCGGAUCGGAUAGAAAUGUCCGUUGCCGACAUCCGAGUUGGGGUGGGUUAAAAGACACCCGGAAUACAAGGAUUAGGCUUAGGCCUUUUUUGGCUAUGUAGUACGAAGGACGUCCAAGAAAAGCUCCUAGGGUUGAAGCACACUGACCGUACUAAAACUGACACAGGUAGGCGAGUCGAGUAGACUAAGGCGCUCGGGAGAACGGUGGUUAAGGAACUCUGCAAAAUGGCCCCGUAAGUUCGCGAUAAGGGGUGCCGGUGAGAGCCGGCCACAGUAAAUCGGCUUCUUCGACUGUUUAUCAAAAACACAGGUCUCUGCAAACACGUAAGUGGACGUAUAGAGACUGACGCCUGCCCGGUGCUGGUAGGUUAAGGAAGUGGGUUAGCUCUUCGGAGUGAAGCUCCCGACCGAAGCCCCAGUAAACGGCGGCCGUAACUAUGACGGUCCUAAGGUAGCGAAGUUCCUUGUCGGGUAAGUUCCGACCUGC